rnacentral:rRNA from 1 species
UACGUAGGGUGCAAGCGUUGUCCGGAAUUAUUGGGCGUAAAGAGCUCGUAGGCGGUUUGUCGCGUCUGCUGUGAAAACUCGGGGCUUAACUCCGGGCCUGCAGUGGGUACGGGCAGACUAGAGUGUGGUAGGGGAGACUGGAAUUCCUGGUGUAGCGGUGAAAUGCGCAGAUAUCAGGAGGAACACCGAUGGCGAAGGCAGGUCUCUGGGCCACUACUGACGUGAGAAGCGAAAGCAUGGGGGAGCGAACAGG